rnacentral:rRNA from 1 species
ACGCACGCUGGCGGCGUGCUUCACCCCUGCCAGUCGAACGGAAAGGCCCUGCUUUUGUGGGGUGCUCGAGUGGCGAACGGGUGAGUAACACGUGAGUAACCUGCCCUUGACUUUGGGAUAACUUCAGGAAACUGGGGCUAAUACCGGAUAGGAGCUCCUGCUGCAUGGUGGGGGUUGGAAAGUUUCGGCGGUUGGGGAUGGACUCGCGGCUUAUCAGCUUGUUGGUGGGGUAGUGGCUUACCAAGGCUUUGACGGGUAGCCGGCCUGAGAGGGUGACCGGCCACAUUGGGACUGAGAUACGGCCCAGACUCCUACGGGAGGCAGCAGUGGGGAAUAUUGCACAAUGGGCGGAAGCCUGAUGCAGCAACGCCGCGUGCGGGAUGACGGCCUUCGGGUUGUAAACCGCUUUCGCCUGUGACGAAGCGUGAGUGACGGUAAUGGGUAAAGAAGCACCGGCUAACUACGUG